UAAGCGAUCUAUCCCUGUGCGGGGGACAACCCGGGGAAACUCGGGCUAAUACCGCAUGGUCGGCGUUCUCGCAUGGGAGUGCCGGGAAAGGUGGCCUCUUUACAAUGCUACCGUGCAGGGAGGAGCUUGCGGGCUAUCAGCUAGUUGGUGAGGUAAUGGCUCACCAAGGCGACGACGGCUAGGGGGUCUGAGAGGACGACCCCCCACAUUGGGACUGAGACACGGCCCAG
rnacentral:rRNA from 1 species